rnacentral:rRNA from 1 species
CCCUUAGAUGUCCUGGGCCGCACGCGCGCUACACUGAACGGAUCAGCGCGUUUUCCCUUCCCGAGAGGGACGGGUAACCUGCUGAACCCCGUUCGUGGUAGGGAUCGGGGCUUGCAAUUAUUCCCCAUGAACGAGGAAUUCCCAGUAAGCGCGAGUCAUCAUCUCGCGUUGAUUACGUCCCUGCCCUUUGUACACACCGCCCGUCGCUACUACCGAUUGAAUGGUUUAGUGAGAUCCUCGGAUUGGCCAUCUCGGCGUGACUUCGGUUGUGCACGUGGUGGCCGAGAAGACGAUCAAACUUGAUCAUUUAGAGGAAGUAAAAGUCGUAACA